AGUUACCACAGAUCUCAUUGAAAGGCCCCAAACUCUAUUGGAUUCACUGUGUUGAACAAAAGAAAAUAAUCUAUUCACAGCUGAUAGAAACUACUUGCAUAAUUAUAAAUCUCUAUGCACCUGUGUGAAACUCAUUUGCACAACUCUUCAAUCAGCAAUCAGUCCUCAUCCAUCUAUAAAAGAUGCCACCUCUGUGUUGCUAUUUGCAAGCAUGGAUCAAAGAGGCCAUAGGCUCAAGUUUCAAAUGAAAUUCGGGCAACAAUUAUUGACCAUGUCAUCAAUCAUGGCUUGUCCUUUAGAAAGGCUGGACAAAGGGUCCAGCCCAUUCUGAGUCGGAGCACUGUGGCAUCUAUUGUCAGGCUUUUUUGGAAUGAGAACAGAAUCCACACAUUACCACACACUGGUGGCAGAGGAAAGAUAUUUAGUAUUGAACAGGAGUCUGCCAUUGUAGAUAUGGUAGUGGCAAACAAUGCAAUCAGACUGCAUGAAAUCCAGGCAGCAGUAAUUGCAGAUCAGGGAGCAUUUAGGAAUAUAAACAGUGUGAGUUUGGCAACUAUAGAUCGAGUCCUUAAACCAAACCAUGUCAGAAUGAAGCAGCUGUACAGAGUUCCAUUUCAAAGAAACUCUGACAUCGUAAAGGAGGCACGAUUCCAGUAUGUGCAGAGAAUAAUGGAGCUUGAAGCUGAAGGGGCACAUCACAAAUUCAUUUUUGUGGAUGAAGCCGGCUUCAACCUCUGUAAAGUGAGGCGACGCGGGAGGAACAUCAUUGGGCAGAGGGCCACUGUCACAGUGCCAGGUCAGAGGGGUGCCAAUAUCACCAUGUGUGCUGCCAUCUCCAAUGAUGGAGUCCUUUGCCACAUACCAACUAUUGGCCCAUACAAUACAGAACGUCUCAUCACAUUUCUUGAUGCAUUGAAAGAUUUACUGAUUCCACCCGAAGAGAGAGGGCUGUUGAGGCCUGGCAUGACUCUGUAUGUCAUAAUUUGGGACAAUGUGGCUUUCCACCACUCUCGCCUUGUGAAUGAAUGGUUUGCAGCACAGCCUCGUAUUAUGAUACAAUUCCUCCCUGCAUACUCGCCUUUUCUGAACCCAAUCGAGGAGUUCUUCUCUGCCUGGAGGUGGAAGGUGUAUGAUCACCGGCCAUAUGAGCAGAUGCCCCUCCUGGAGGCAAUGAAUGCUGGUUGCCUGGCAAUAGGUGCAGAGGACUGCCAGGGAUGGAUACGCCAUGCAAGGAGGUAUUUCCCUCGGUGCAUUGCAAGGGAAAACAUUCAAUGCGAUUGUUGAUGAGAACCUGUGGCAUAAUCGUCAAGAACGAAUGGAC
ensembl:lncRNA